GAUGAACGCUGGCGGUAUGCCUAACACAUGCAAGUCGUACGAGAGUUUUUAACUCUAGUGGCGGACGGGUGAGUAACACGUGAGAAUUUGCCUUUAGGAGGGGGACAACAAUCGGAAACGAAUGCUAAUACCCCAUAUGCUUUCGAGUGAAAUGGAUUUUAUCCGCCUAGAGAGAAGCUCGCGGCUGAUUAGCUUGUUGGUAAGGUAAGAGCUUACCAAGGCGACGAUCAGUAUCUGGUUUGAGAGGACGAUCAGACACACUGGAACUGAGACACGGUCCAGACUCCUACGGGAGGCAGCAGUGGGGAAAUUUUCCGCAAUGGGCGAAAGCCUGACGGAGCAAUACCGCGUGAGGGAAGAAUGCCUAUGGGUUGUAAACCUCUUUUUUCAGGGAGGAAUCAAAUGACGUGUACCUGAAGAAUAAGCAUCGGCUAACUCCGUG
rnacentral:rRNA from 1 species